UUUAAUUCAUACAUCUUAUUUAAUUUCUGUUGUUGAUUUAUUUAUUUUUAUUUGAUGUUAAGAUUAAGGGGGAUUAGCUCCUUGUUCUAGCUUUUAUAAUUGUCUGAGUUUAAUUUAGUUUUGUGGAUUUUAUGGUGAUUUUNUAUUUGAUUAUGUUAAAAUUUUAUUUGUUCUUUUUUUAAUUUUUUUGUUAUUUAAGUUAUUUAUUGAAAUGUUUUCUUUACUUUGGUUUGUAUAGUAAUUAUUGUGUAAUUAGUAAAUUUUAUUGGUUGUUUUGUGAGAGAUGGUAGGUGUUAAUUGCUUUUGAGGAAUUCGGCAAAGUUCUAUGUCCGCCUGUUUAACAAAAACAUCUUUUCUUGUUAGUUUUUGAAGUAUGGCCUGCCCACUGNCUUAGAGUUGAAGGGCCGCGGUAUUUUGACCGUGCAAAGGUAGCAUAAUCAUUAGUUCUUUAAUUGUGAUCUGGUAUGAAUGGCUUGACGAGACAUAAGCUGUCUUAGAGGUAUUGGUUUAUUGAAUUUGGUUUUUGAGUUAAAAUUNUUNAAUGUUUUUAUGGGACGAGAAGNCCCUAUAGAGUUUGACAAUUUUCCUAUUUGUUCGUUGUUUGUAUUUAUUUACAUUGAGUGGGAGUGAAUUGUUUUGUUGGGGUGAUGGGAGGAAUAUUAUUUAACUCCUCUUUGUUUUUAUAUAUUUAU
rnacentral:rRNA from 1 species